CUCUCCUGCAAAGCUGGGGAGUGGUGAGUGGAAGCUGCAGGUCCACGUCGAAGCUCAACCGUUGCUUGUCGCUCAUUCGUCCUUCGGUCGUGGUUCGAACGUCGGCUGUUGCGCAAAGAAGGUGUUUCGUUCGAGCAGUCGAUGUCGCUGUCGUCGAUAUUAGAUCUGACCGUCGUUGACCACCAUCUAACGCCGCUAGCCCGACAAGAUCGCCACUAAAAAGUGCAUUUCAGCGAGCUUUUGGUGGUUAUCCAGCAGAUUUUGAGGUUUUUAGUAAGUAAAAGUUAUUGGGGCUUGACUCAAGGUCUUAUUAGGCAAAGGGGAGAUAAGCUUGUUUGAACACAUUUAGCCUUAAUUUCAAGGUAUGUAAUCUUACUAUUAGAACCAUCUUUGUGUCGGGUGAUAUAAUUAGGAUAAUUUUGAUGAUUCUAAGACUGUAAAUCGCGAUGCUUGAUUAGAGAGAAUAUAUGAGCAUAUAAUAAAUAUGUUUGAAUUAUAUUGUAUGUAUGAACAUGAUUUAGAAUUUUAAAAGGAUGAAUGAGCAUGAACUAAAUUUUAUAUGAUAUGUUAUCAGGAUGUAUGAACAUAAUGUCAUAAUUCCAUUAUUAAGGGACUCUGAUUUAUUGCAUGAUAUUUAUGUUAAUGAUAGUCGCCCCGAACCCGUAAUCUUGUACCCACUAGAGGUUAGUGUCUCCUUUGAGAUUCACCAAAGGUUAGUGAUCCCUCGAGAUUCACUAGAGUUUAGUUUCUCUUUCAGGAUUCACAAAGGUUAGUGUCCCCCUUAGGAUUCACAAAGGUUAGUGUCUCCUUCAGGAUUCACCAGAGGUUAGUGUUUCCUUGGGGAUUUAAUAGAAGUUUGUGACUCCUUCGGGGUUCAAUUAUCACCUAGAUGGUCAUCUAUGAUAAGUAGAUGUUUUUGUAUGUCCCACUAGAAUGUUGGAUUUAUUAGACAUAAAUGCAUAGCCUAACCUCGGUAGUAAUGUUACUUACUGAGUAUUUUAUACUCAUUUUUUUUAAUGUUACAUUUUUUAGAAAAAAAUAAAGGACACAUCGACGAAUGAUAGAGGGAAUUUGAGACUGUGCCAUUUGGGACUAGAGAGAUGCUUCUACUCAUUCUCAUGUUUUAAUGUUUUAGAUACCAAUCUUGAUGUUUGAACGUAGAGUUCCGUUGUUUGAAGUUUUUAUAAAGCUUCAUGAAGUUUAUUUUGAACUUACUAUUUAGGGGGACUCCAAUCAAAGAUUUUUAGUUAUUUAGAUUUUACAAAAACUAUUUAUCUAAUAUAAUUCUUUUGAUUUUUAGUUAUAAUUUAUGAAAGAGUCAUUUUGAGAUUUAUGUAUGCAUGUGGUAACGACCUAGAUAAGUCUUAGAAAGUUGGGUUGUUACAGAUUCUGGUAAUUCUUCUUCUACUACUUCUUCACCCAUUCCUACUUCUACCAUUUAAAAUACUAUGCCAGUUGUGGUU